rnacentral:rRNA from 1 species
UACGUAGGGACCAAGCGUUGUUCGGAUUUACUGGGCGUAAAGGGCGCGUAGGCGGCGUGUUAAGUCAGCUGUGAAAUCUCCAAGCUUAACUUGGAACGGUCAGCUGAUACUGAUGUGCUAGAGUGCAGAAGGGGCAAUCGGAAUUCUUGGUGUAACGGUGAAAUGCGUAGAUAUCAAGAGGAACACCUGAGGUGAAGACGGGUUGCUGGGCUGACACUGACGCUGAGGCGCGAAAGCUAGGGUAGCAAACGGG